CCGGACGCGGCGCAUGCGCAUACACGUGUGCGGGCUGAGGCGCCGGGGCCUGGAGAGGGAACCUGGCGCUGUGGCUGCUGCGCUUGCUCUGUCCCCGGACGCCGCUGGCUUGCUUCCCUUGUCAGCUGUGUGGGGACUGGCAGAGGGUGUGAGAGCGGGAAACGACCGGACGAGCGGCGGGGAGCGUCCUGGGUGAGGAGGAGGAAGUCUGGUCUUAGGUGUGAAGGAUGCUGACGCGUUCCGGCGCCUCGCGGUGUCACUCUCGGCUUCUGAGCGUUGCCCUACGCCGCAGCGGGUUUUCCUCAGCUGUGAAGCGCGGCUGCGUCCUGCCCGGGCUUCCCCCCGCCGGGACGGUUCCAACGCCCGAGCCCAGCGGGCCAGGCUAGUUGCUCCGGGGCUGGGAGUUACGGCACCGGGGUUGGGGCGGAGAAGACGAACUAGUUCAACUCGACCCGGUUAAGCAAGCGCAGCAGUGUGUGUUCUUGGAUCAUAGUAUUUCAUGUAAACAUUUUGAUUUAAGAGAAACAAAAGGGAAAAUAUUAACCGUUUUCAAGCAUCCAAAGGCGAAAUGCUUCAUCUCUGGGAUGGAGUAGAGGAGUAGCCUCUGCGGUUGAGUUGCAGUCGUGGGUGCAAGAAGCAGCGCUGAAGCAGAGUGCAGCCCCGGAAUAGGGCGGGAUGGAAUGGCCUGGGCAGUUCAGAAACCCGCGAGGAGUCCAGGGCGGAACAGGGUUUUUGCAGAUGUAAUUGGUUAAGAUGAGGUCAUGCUGGUAUAGAAUGAGCCCUAAAUCGAAUGGUUGGCGCCCUUAGAAGAGGACACAUAGAUAAAUGAGCACAGAGGGAAGAAGGCCAUUUGGAGAUAGAAGCAGGGAUUGGAGUGAUGCAACUGGAAGCCAAGAAACGCCGCAGAAUGCCAGGAGCCAGCAGAACCUAAGAAAAGGCAAAGGAUUAUUCCAAAGUGCCUUCCGAAGAAGCUUGGCCCUGCCAAAAACCUGAUUUCAGACUUCUAGCCCCCAAAACUGCAAGAGAAUAAAUUUUGUUGUUUCAAGA